AUACGUAGGUGGCAAGCGUUAUCCGGAUUUACUAGGUGUAAAGGGCGUGUAGGCGGGUCUGCAAGUCAGAUGUGAAAUCUCCGGGCUUAACUCGGAAGUGUCAUCUGAAACUACGGAUCUUGAGUACUGGAGAGGAUAGUGGAAUUCCUAGUGUAGCGGUAAAAUGCGUAGAUAUUAGGAGGAACACCAGUGGCGAAGGCGGCUAUCUGGACAGUAACUGACGCUGAGGCGCGAAAGCGUGGGGAGCAAACAGGAUUAGAUCCCCUGGUAGUCCACGCCGUAAACGAUGAAUACUAGGUGUAGGAGGUAUCGACUCCUCCUGUGCCGCAGCUAACGCAAUAAGUAUUCCACCUGGGGAGUACGGCCGCAAGGUUGAAACUCAAAUGAAUUGACGGGG
rnacentral:rRNA from 1 species